AUUGAACGCUGGCGGCAGGCCUAACACAUGCAAGUCGAGCGAGCGGCGGACGGGUGAGUAAUGUAUGGGGACUGCCCGAUGGAGGGGGAUAACUACUGGAAACGGUGGCUCAUACCGCAUACUGUCGGAUAACCCAUAUGGGAUUAGCUAGUAGGUAAGGUAAUGGCUUACCUGGGCGACGAUGCAUAGCCGACCUGAGAGGGUGAUCGGCAACACGGGGACGGAGACAUGGCCAAGAGUCCUACGGAGGCAGCAGUGGUGAAUAUUGCACAAUGGGCGCAAGCCUGAUGCAGCCAGGCCGCCUGUAUGAAGAAGGCCCUAGGGUUGUAAAGUACUUUCAGUCGGGAGGCGUUACCGACAGAAGAAGCACCGGCUAACUCCGUGCCAGCAGCCGCGGUAAUAC
rnacentral:rRNA from 1 species